GGGGGGGGGGGGGGGGGUGGGGGGCGGGGGGGGGUCGAGGGGGGCCGUCGGGUGGGGGGGCGCACGGGUGCGUAACGCGUGGGAACCUGCCCUUGGGUGCGGAAUAACUCCGCGGAAGGGGUGCGAAUACCGGAGAAUGUCUUCGGACCACAGAUUUAUCGCCGUUGGAUGGGCCCGCGUUGGAUUAGCUAGUUGGUAGGGUAAAAGCCUACCAAGGCGACGAUCCAUAGCUGGUCUGAGAGGAUGAUCAGCCACACUGGGACUGAGACACGGCCCAGACUCCUACGGGAGGCAGCAGUGGGGAAUAUUGGACAAUGGGCGAAAGCCUGAUCCAGCAAUGCCGCGUGAGUGAUGAAGGCCUUAGGGUUGUAAAGCUCUUUUACCCGGGAUGAUAAUGACAGUACCGGGAGAAUAAGCUCCGGCUAACUCCGUG
rnacentral:rRNA from 1 species